UACUCACUGUCCCCAACUGUUUACAUAAACCAUUACCUCCACACUAAAACUAUAGCAUUUUUAGAUCUCAUGUUGUUGUCCCGACCUCCGUAAAGUGUCAUUAAUGCAAGAACGAAUGUAAGUGUCGCCAAGACCAACACAUGUGGUAACUCCAACGAGAACCAGGCCAAUAAGAUGAAGAAAGUCAAGACUUAGUCCAAGGUAUUUCACUCAGUUUACAGUUAAGAUAGGUUCAGUCUCACAUUGUACUAAAACUCCCCAAAGUCGGAAUCGGUCUGAAUUACCGGUGCGCAUGCCGAGUUGUAAUUGGCCGCCUGGCACAACACCAGUUUCUCACCAACUGCCAGAUAAUGUGAUGGCAUCCAGCCAGUGCUGGAUUUAGGCACAAGCCUCUACAAAACCCUGGGCAGCACUCAAAUUAUUCUUGAAUCCUGACUCUACAGUACCAAAACAUCUGCUGACAUUAAACUAGGUGGGAAGCAAAGGCUACUGCAGCCAUAGGCCCAUAGGUGAGUUAUACAGUAAUUCAAUUAUGUACUGUAAUGAUACUUUUACUCACGUCCUUACUAAUGUAUUAAUGACAGUGAAGAAGGUGAAACAAGAAGAAAGCUGAUAUUCUUCCUGAGAAAACUGAGGAACUGGAAUGUGUCUUCAUGUUCAUUAGUUAGAUCAAUUCCACAAACCACCAAGACCCUACAGGACCCACACAUUGGCCUUAGCACAUGUACAAAGCUUUACACAUUGCUCACUAACUUCUUGAAAUAAAUCCUAGACUGUUUUGAUGAAAUUGAACUCAAAGCAAAAGGAGACCUUCCUGAUGUAGAGUACAGGUGUGUGAAUAAAAGAGAGUGAGAAAAAACAAGUCAGUGAUGGUGAUGCAGCAAAUGAUGAUGACAGGAUUUCUCCAAGAGACAAAUUUUGAGUAAAAUCCUUUAUUCCCAUGAUGGAUGCCCUUGAAAUCGGUGUGAAAAAAGACAGCCAUAUACAGUACAAUAAUGUUGCAAAUAUAUAUAAUUUUUUUGUUGAUUUAGAAGAGGAACAGUUGUGUGACAGUGUAAAGUCUCUGGUGAAAGACUAUCCUGAUGAUAUUGAUGUUAACCUUGUUGGGGAAGUAAAGCUUUUUAAUGUUUAUACCAAGAAAAAUUAUUCUAAUAAAGGAUAUUUAUGCCACUAGGACCUCUAUCAAGUCAUCUUCCAAGAUAAGAUUCAUUUGGCUUUCCCUAUUGUAGAAGCAAUAUUGUGGCUACUUUUCAGUCUAAUAGUCACAAACUGCUCAGGAGAAAGGUAAAUUCUGUAGCUGAAAAGGAUUAAGAAUGAACUAUGGACAUCAAUGCUGUGAGAAAAGUUCUCUGCAUUAAGAAUUAUGUGAAUAGAAAGUGAAAAAUUUGUAGCUUAUCAUUGGACGACUUCAUCCAUGACCUUGCUCUUGGGAAUCUACGAAAGAAAAUGUUUUAAAUUUCAUGUGAUGUUCAACCAGAAGAGACAGUGCCAGUUGCAUUACUGCCUCCAUUUACUAAGGGUGAAUCUGUUUAAUUUCUUUAUAUAAUAGUAUGAGUAACCAGAGAACAGAUUAUAUCAACUGUUACUCAACUCCAAUGUGACGAAUAACUUCUGUUACCAAUAUUGUCACGUAUACUUGGAGUACACUUGACUAACUGUAAACUGUACACUGUAGAAUGGUCACCUUAGACUGGGCCGAGACUGGGUCCUCUUAAUCUACGCUUUGCCAACUAUGUAACAAUAUCUUCUUUGUAACAGUAUAACACAGUAAUGGGGAGAACAUAAUAUCUCUACCUUUACCAACUGUGUAUCUGUUACUUGUUGUAUAACAACUACUUGUGAAGCUGUCAUAUAUGUAACAAC